GCGACUUAUUGGAGUUCAUUCUUCGCACUCUCUCGGAAACCACUUGUUUCCAAUCAUCUAAUCAGACGAUAGCAGACUCAAGAAAGACGUUUCCUUCCCAGAUCCUUCUAGACCAUUUGCAAACCGUCUCCUUCCCCGAAUCCAUUCUCCAAACCCUCGAUCCUUGAGGAGCUCCACCACCGUGACGGCGCUCCGGUCUCCGCCGUCAAUUGUGCCGUCGCGGUGGAGCAUGAGCGUCUUCAUGAGUCUGAAAGGGAAUUAUAGGAACUACUUUCCUGAUUAGGUUAUUGGAAACAAGUGGUUUCCGAGUCCGAGGAAGGAACUCCAACGCCCAAC
rnacentral:pre_miRNA from 1 species